UUCUGCUUCUUCAAAGAACCCUGACUAAUAUAGUCCCUGAUAAGGAAGUUGAGGCAUCAGUGGAAAUUAAGAGGAUAUUAGGGACUUUCCAAUGCCACUAAAGUCACACCCCACAAACAGCCAUCCUCUGCCAAUUGCCUUAUGAGAUAUCAUGGUGUAGGAGAAAAAUCUUGAGUAAGGUGAUGCUCAGGAAAAGCCUAGUCUUGGGCGAAUCACCAAGUAUGUGGCCUUGGGCAAGUCACCCCACCUCUCCAGGCCUUGCACUCUUUUCUGGAAAACAAAAGGGCUGACUAGAUCAGAGUCUGAAACCCACUACAUGCUGCCCAUAGUAGACAUCAUGAAAGGAUCCCAUUUUUUUUUUCUUUUUUGUCCACACCCACAGCAUAUGGAAGUUCCCAGCCCAGAGACUGAACAUGAGCCACAGCUGCAGCCAACACCACCAUUGAAGCAACACGGAUCCUUAACCCCAUUUUGUUGGGCCAAGGAUUGAACUGGCACCACCACAGAGAGAAGCCAAUCAUUAAUCCAUUGCACCAUAGCAGGAACUCCAAGGAUCCCAUUUUUUUUUCCUACUGAAAUUUGGAGGCAACCUAUAACUCUUCUAACCAUAUGGCUCGAGACGGACCUUAUCAAUCAAUCAAAGCUGGUUCAUGAGACCAAACCAAUUUGCAACCCCAUGAUUCCUUGGUUUCUAAAGCCCCCACCAACUAGAACAAAAUGAAGCCACUCAAAUUGUGGUCACUGUCAGACAGGGGAGUUGCUUGACAAAUAGAACUCAACCCUUGACUGAAAAUGUCUGGGAAUGUAAGGAAAAGGUGGGACGGGAGCUCUGGAGGGGGUGAGGUCCAGUUCUCUGUGUGUUGUCCUUGCCACCACCAGGCCCUCUUCUUAUAUGUUUUCCAGUCUCUUAUCUAGAUCUAAUCUGAAGCCCCAGCCUGUUUGCAGCCCCCCGGGGCCCUUUCACCAGUGCCCACCACCCUGUGUGUUUACCUCGGCGAGGCUGAUGGAGAUGAUGAACACAGGGGGCGGGAGGCAGUUAGCUCUUUCCAGCUCGUCUUUCAGCUCUCUAUCCAUAUUCAGAUUCACAUCCUCCUCUAUCUCCACAUCAUGAGCAGCAGCCAUCGUCCUGGGUCCUCCCUCUGCCUAAAAGGGACGUGAAUGUCAGGGAAAAACAGAUGACCCUACGGUCUUCAGAACAUGGCUCUUUCCUGGGCUCUAAGGAUCUCCAAGGAUCUACUGGUUUCCAGUGCCUUUCCUGGGAGUUAAUAGAAGGCUGCUGAGGAUCUGGUGCCCAAUACAUACAAUAUCCAUACCUGCGUCAUCAGCGUGUAAUUGUGAAAAAGUGCUAGGGUCUCUCCAGUUGAGGGAAAGGACUCCCCAGGAGUCACUUCUGGAUCCCUGCUGUCACCACUCAAGGGAAGGACUGGAAUUUUGGAAUGGCAACUGUACCUCAUAUACCUGUUCCCUCCCCUCUGCCACUGACUCUCGAGAAAUAGGUCAGCAGUGAGUUAAGGCAUAUCAGAGCCCAAGCCAUGCAUACACUGCCUAACUGAAUUCAGUUUGGUCUAACUUCAGUGAAUAGUCUACUUUUCCCUCUUAGUUUCAUCUUGCUUCUACUCCCAAGCCAAAUGUGCGUCUCUGGUUUCUGAUUCAGAAUCAAAAAUUAUUUAUGAGUAUCUCCUGUGUAUCAAGUACAACACUGGGGGCCCCAUUAUAGGAUAAAGAAUUAGCCUGCCAUUCCCCUCUCAAAAAAAAAAUUUUUUUUUUUUUUUUGGU
rnacentral:lncRNA from 1 species